UCAUGCAUGGCUUCUUACACU
rnacentral:miRNA from 1 species